rnacentral:rRNA from 1 species
CAGAAGGCACACCCGGAGAACUGAAACAUCUUAGUACCCGGAGGAAGAGAAAGAAAAUUCGAUUCCCUUAGUAGCGGCGAGCGAAACGGGAAGAGCCCAAACCAACAAGCUUGCUUGUUGGGGUUGUAGGACACUCUAUACGGAGUUAUAAAGGACGACAUUAGACGAAUCAUCUGGAAAGAUGAAUCAAAGAAGGUAAUAAUCCUGUAGUCGAAAAUGUUGUCUCUCUUGAGUGGAUCCUGAGUACGACGGAGCACGUGAAAUUCCGUCGGAAUCUGGGAGGACCAUCUCCUAAGGCUAAAUACUCUCUAGUGACCGAUAGUGAACCAGUACCGUGAGGGAAAGGUGAAAAGCACCCCGGAAGGGGAGUGAAAUAGAACCUGAAACCGUGUGCUUACAAGUAGUCAGAGCCCGUUAAUGGGUGAUGGCGUGCCUUUUGUAGAAUGAACCGGCGAGUUACGAUUUGAUGCAAGGUUAAGCAGUAAAUGUGGAGCCGUAGCGAAAGCGAGUCUGAAUAGGGCGUUUAGUAUUUGGUCGUAGACCCGAAACCAGGUGAUCUACCCUUGGUCAGGUUGAAGUUCAGGUAACACUGAAUGGAGGACCGAACCGACUUACGUUGAAAAGUGAGCGGAUGAACUGAGGGUAGCGGAGAAAUUCCAAUCGAACCUGGAGAUAGCUGGUUCUCUCCGAAAUAGCUUUAGGGCUAGCCUCAAGUGAUGAUUAUUGGAGGUAGAGCACUGUUUGGACGAGGGGCCCCUCUCGGGUUACCGAAUUCAGACAAACUCCGAAUGCCAAUUAAUUUAACUUGGGAGUCAGAACAUGGGUGAUAAGGUCCGUGUUCGAAAGGGAAACAGCCCAGACCACCAGCUAAGGUCCCAAAAUAUAUGUUAAGUGGAAAAGGAUGUGGCGUUGCCCAGACAACUAGGAUGUUGGCUUAGAAGCAGCCAUCAUUUAAAGAGUGCGUAAUAGCUCACUAGUCGAGUGACACUGCGCCGAAAAUGUACCGGGGCUAAACAUAUUACCGAAGCUGUGGAUUGUCCUUUGGACAAUGGUAGGAGAGCGUUCUAAGGGCGUUGAAGCAUGAUCGUAAGGACAUGUGGAGCGCUUAGAAGUGAGAAUGCCGGUGUGAGUAGCGAAAGACGGGUGAGAAUCCCGUCCACCGAUUGACUAAGGUUUCCAGAGGAAGGCUCGUCCGCUCUGGGUUAGUCGGGUCCUAAGCUGAGGCCGACAGGCGUAGGCGAUGGAUAACAGGUUGAUAUUCCUGUACCACCUAUAAUCGUUUUAAUCGAUGGGGGGACGCAGUAGGAUAGGCGAAGCGUGCGAUUGGAUUGCACGUCUAAGCAGUAAGGCUGAGUAUUAGGCAAAUCCGGUACUCGUUAAGGCUGAGCUGUGAUGGGGAGAAGACAUUGUGUCUUCGAGUCGUUGAUUUCACACUGCCGAGAAAAGCCUCUAGAUAGAAAAUAGGUGCCCGUACCGCAAACCGACACAGGUAGUCAAGAUGAGAAUUCUAAGGUGAGCGAGCGAACUCUCGUUAAGGAACUCGGCAAAAUGACCCCGUAACUUCGGGAGAAGGGGUGCUCUUUAGGGUUAACGCCCAGAAGAGCCGCAGUGAAUAGGCCCAAGCGACUGUUUAUCAAAAACACAGGUCUCUGCUAAACCGUAAGGUGAUGUAUAGGGGCUGACGCCUGCCCGGUGCUGGAAGGUUAAGAGGAGUGGUUAGCUUCUGCGAAGCUACGAAUCGAAGCCCCAGUAAACGGCGGCCGUAACUAUAACGGUCCUAAGGUAGCGAAAUUCCUUGUCGGGUAAGUUCCGACCCGCACGAAAGGCGUAACGAUUUGGGCACUGUCUCAACGAGAGACUCGGUGAAAUCAUAGUACCUGUGAAGAUGCAGGUUACCCGCGACAGGACGGAAAGACCCCGUGGAGCUUUACUGUAGCCUGAUAUUGAAAUUCGGCACAGCUUGUACAGGAUAGGUAGGAGCCUUUGAAACGUGAGCGCUAGCUUACGUGGAGGCGCUGGUGGGAUACUACCCUAGCUGUGUUGGCUUUCUAACCCGCACCACUUAUCGUGGUGGGAGACAGUGUCAGGCGGGCAGUUUGACUGGGGCGGUCGCCUCCUAAAAGGUAACGGAGGCGCUCAAAGGUUCCCUCAGAAUGGUUGGAAAUCAUUCAUAGAGUGUAAAGGCAUAAGGGAGCUUGACUGCGAGACCUACAAGUCGAGCAGGGUCGAAAGACGGACUUAGUGAUCCGGUGGUUCCGCAUGGAAGGGCCAUCGCUCAACGGAUAAAAGCUACCCCGGGGAUAACAGGCUUAUCUCCCCCAAGAGUUCACAUCGACGGGGAGGUUUGGCACCUCGAUGUCGGCUCAUCGCAUCCUGGGGCUGUAGUCGGUCCCAAGGGUUGGGCUGUUCGCCCAUUAAAGCGGUACGCGAGCUGGGUUCAGAACGUCGUGAGACAGUUCGGUCCCUAUCCGUCGUGGGCGUAGGAAAUUUGAGAGGAGCUGUCCUUAGUACGAGAGGACCGGGAUGGACAUACCUCUGGUGUACCAGUUGUCGUGCCAACGGCAUAGCUGGGUAGCUAUGUGUGGACGGGAUAAGUGCUGAAAGCAUCUAAGCAUGAAGCCCCCCUCAAGAUGAGAUUUCCCAACUUCGGUUAUAAGAUCCCUCAAAGAUGAUGAGGUUAAUAGGUUCGAGGUGGAAGCAUGGUGACAUGUGGAGCUGACGAAUACUAAUCGAUCGAAGACUUAAUCAA